GGUUGUGAACGUUUAUUAAUUAUCACUGCUAUAAGUGAACUGUAAUUUAGAAUAUUAGCAGAGUGCCAUGGUCUCAGGAAGCAUAGUGAUCUAUUGCAUUAUAAAUCAAUUUAUAAACACCACGUAGACACCUGUAUGACGAUAAGGUUUUUAUGCCAGGAAUAGUUUGCUCGUGUUCAAUAAAGGAAAUUGGAUGUUCAAUUCCAGACGUUCUCAAGAAAGGUGCUUGACCGUCAAAUGCUCGCGACAUCGCGCGGCAUCGGCCUAAAUGCAGAAAAGCCUGUGACGCUUAAGUUCAUUUUAGUGUCAUAAAAUUUCAAGUCAAUAUAAAAAAGCCUUUUGAAAUCCAAAUUUUAGUAAAGCUGCGUUUAAAUUACCUAUCUGAGGUUACUAUAAACGGUAUCUAAAGAACUAGGCAAUCUUCAAUAUCCCGCGAGCGAACUCUGCAAAAUGCCCUGUCGCGAAAAAUGCCCGAGAGCUUCAAGCAGCGAUUGUGUGCCACAAUGCUCUACCGGGGCUUCACAUUGCGAUUCCGAGCCAUCCUAUUUCAGUAUGGUGGUUGAUGCAGCCUCCUCGAUGCUUCAAGGCAUCGGCCUUGUAGCGGAGCGUUUCGUGUCGUGGUCGCCGCAGGAGCCGUGUCCCUCCGAGCCGCCCACCCCAGCCGUUCGCUCGUCGUCCUGUCCUCCUGCCGCUCUGCCGACCUGUCCUCCCGCCACUCUGCCGGCCUGCUCUCCGUCCCCCUGCGAGUCGCCUCGGCCAUGCCCGCCGCCCAAGCCGCAGUCGUGCACCCUGUCAGAAUCGCCGCAACGCAGGAAGCGCCGGCAGCGACGCUCCCGGCCCCACCCCGUCGCCAGGCCGCUCAAGAGCUGCUCCAAAGGGCAGUGAUGACGUGGUUGGACAACGGUUCUGCGUCAACCAGCUGUGUGACGAUGAUCUAUGGCUGUUUCAGGAAUUUGCAUGCCAAACUGGAUUUUUUAAUUUCGCCCUUAUAGAGAUGUGAGCGAUUCAGGAUAAAUUUUCAUAAAUUAAUUUGUAGAUAUCUAACGCCUCUUUAUUUCGUGCACCCACACUUUCGACAUAUAUUGGUUUCAAAUCACAACGUGAAAUAUCCCACUGUGAAUAUACACUUUAUAAACACC